UGUAGAGUUGCCGGCGGGUAUUUUGGGUCGCCACCGCACUCGACUUGCCGCGGCUAGGUAAAAGAAGGAGAAGCUGUCCUCUUCGGGUAAAGGGGGAAGGACAAGGAGGGCGGCGAGGAUAGCACGUUCUUGAACCAUGGUGUCUCACUCUCUCUCUCUCCUUGCUAAGCAACUACGGUACCUCGGCGGGUUCUCCGUCGACCGGGACUGCCCUCGGCCGCGUCCGGCCCUCCUCCGCUUCGCGGACGCGCAGCCCCAGCGGUUGGGGUCGCGGCGGCCGACCGUCCGCGGCUGUAGCGGCCGCAGCGGCCCCUGCGCCGAGUACGCCGCCUGGCACGAGCAGCACGAGAAAGAUGACGCUUACUCGCUGCCCUAGUGCCACUGCCUUUCGUAGAGGGUCUAACCAGCGUACCAAGUCUCCUUCUACCUUCCCAAAGUUUUCCAAGUCCGAGAAUACUACGCGGUUAACCUUUUAAAGCUCCUCUUCUACCUCCGGUUUAACCUUUUAAAUCUCCUCUUCGACCUCCCGUUUAACCCUUUAAAUCUUCUCUUCUACCUCUCGUUCUCGGUCCUUCACUUCCUCAACCGUACAAAAGUAAGGUUAUCUGUGCGACUAUUUGUGGGUUCUAGUCUUGGUAUAGUCCUCCCACGGUGAAACUCACUUGGCUUACGGUUGUAAGCGGACGCAAAGGACCUACCGGACUUCUGAGGUUAAAUGUGUCUGUUCUAAUAUCGUAGACUCUCGUUACGCCGAUAGUCCUAACCGCAGAAACUACCACUGUUUUACUAGUUACUUCCGGGCGAAAGGUUCCGCUUUCAACUCUAGGACCAAGAGGCACCGCUGAAGACGUCACUGCCAGUCCUCUCAACCUGACUUCUCCUCAAGUUGUCGGUGUAUCGCGUUCCGGCCGUGUCCGUUCCCAGUCACGACCCCCCGCUAACGUCACGCACCAACUUGUUACCCCUCCGUAGUAACCCUUUUUAGACGAAGUCUCUUCCUAGUAGGUCCUGAGGGUCAUCCUUCAAGUAGCAGCCUCCUUCUCAUACGUGCUUGUCCUUCUAGCCACCAUAAGCUCAGGUCCUUCGACAGUACCUCGGCCAGUGACACGACCUAGCAUCUUUACUUCGUUUACUCUUCUCCGUGGGAGGUUCUAACCUGCUACUUCAGAUAGCGGACCUUCUUUAGAGGUUUCUACCUUAAAUGGUGUCCUCCGAAUUCCUACGAGUCUAUAAGUUUCAACUCCUGAAGGAAUUCCGAAACUUAUUUCUACGUCUGCUCGAGGCACUUUACCAGGAGGUCUAGUUCUUCGCGUCAUUGCGAACCCUUUCUUACCAAUUCGUACGGUCCCUUACGACGGAGCGUCUGUCCGGGCUCGAGUUUCGUAUAGUGUCACAUCUACCCUUACAUCACUAGAAGAAGUUAACGCACGUACUAGAACAACCUCGUUAAAAAAUACCACAAAUGUAAAGUGCCCUGUUAAAACUAGGCCGAUUCUUCCGAGUUCGCAUACUCAACUUUCUCACACGCGCGCCAGUCAACCUGUAGGAGGGCAAACUGAUACACUACUUACCGUUAGAAGGACUUGUUCAAGGGAGAUCGUGUGUAAGAUGAGACCUACGUCGUAAGUAAGAACCCGGCCUACGGCGCGAAGUUGGUUUACUUUUGGUCAACGUCAUGUCCUAGUUGUUAUAGUGACUUGGUAGAGUGGUCUUACUCAUAUAAGUACCACUAGUCUCGUGUCAAUUGUGUGUAAUAAUGGUUCCUCUUUCAUAAGAUGGUCAACCAGUCGUCGUUGGAUGUUAAAAGUGACCUAGUCCAGUUCACUUGUAGGUAUCGGUCUACGUUCGAGGGUACAGGUACCUACCGCCUUCACAGUACGUCCGUAGUUGGAGACAAGUCGUGUUGGAAGACAGUGUUGUUAAACGAGGAUGAGUUCAGGUUCUUUCAUACGUACCCUAGGUAAUGAGACUCUUAGGUGGAUUGGUACGGCAACCUGGUAGCUGUACCGUGCUACUAUAAUAGGGACGUGCCCUCGGAUCACGGUUAGAUAAAGGGCCUGGCCUAAUACCCUUGAAGAUCGUUCGCUCGUGAAAGGUGUUACGUCAAAUCCCGCACAUGGUAGUACCAAACACACAACACACAGUGGUGUUGAAUCCACAGUCCAACACUAUAUGUCAUCAUGAACAAUAAAAGUCAUAGUCCGUAACAUCUGACAUACAAACCUGUGUUUUAACGAACGGGGGUAAGAAAGGACAAUCUACAAAGUUGUAACAUGUUACUACAGCACACCCUAGAUUCCCACACAACAUUGAAUCCGUUUUGUAAAACAAAACACGCGCGGGUGACUACAAAUUAACUACAAAUAUACAAAACCUUACAAAUGCUGAUAUUUGACGGUCUGACUAUAACAACUCAUUCUCUUUUG
rnacentral:rRNA from 1 species